rnacentral:rRNA from 1 species
AUGGUUGUCGUCAGCUCGUGUCGUGAGAUGUUGGGUUAAGUCCCGCAACGAGCGCAACCCUCGACCUUAGUUGCCAGCAUUCAGUUGGGCACUCUAAGGUGACUGCCGGCUAAAAGUCGGAGGAAGGUGGGAUGACGUCAAAUCAUCAUGCCCCUUAUGACCUGGGCUACACACGUGCUACAAUGGUUGGUACAACAAGUUGCGAGUCGGUGACGGCGAGCUAAUCUCUUAAAGCCAAUCUCAGUUCGGAUCGCAGGCUGAAACCCGCCUGCGUGAAGUCGGAGUUGCUAGUAAACGCGUGUCAGCAUAGCGCGUUGAAUACGUUCUCGGGCCUU